rnacentral:rRNA from 1 species
GGUAUGGGAUGAGCUUGCGUCCGAUUAGCUAGUUGGCGGGGCAACGGCCCACCAAGGCGACGAUCGGUAGCCGGCCUGAGAGGGUGAUCGGCCACAUUGGGACUGAGAUACGGCCCAGACUCCUACGGGAGGCAGCAGUAGGGAAUAUUGCACAAUGGGGGAAACCCUGAUGCAGCAACGCCACGUGUGGGAAGAAGCAUUUCGGCGUGUAAACCACUGUCGUGAGGGAAUAAGGCUGAGUUUCGGCUCAGUUGAAUGUACCUCGAGAGGAAGCACCGGCAAACUUCGUGCCAGCAGCCGCGGUAAUACGAGGGGUGCAAGCGUUGUUCGGAAUCACUGGGCGUAAAGGGAGCGCAGGCGGAAGCUCAAGCGGAUUGUACAAUACCGGGGCCCAACCCCGGACCUGCAGUCCGAACUGGGUUUCUUGGAUAGUUCAGGGCAGGC